rnacentral:rRNA from 1 species
CGAGGAAUAUUGGUCAAUGGGCGCAAGCCUGAACCAGACAUCCCGCGUGCAGGAAGACGGCCCUAUGGGUUGUAAACUGCUUUUCCAGGGGGAGAAUUUUUCUGUCGUGACAGGAAUUGACGGUACCCUGGGAAUAAGCAUCGGCUAACUCCGUGCCAGCAGCCGCGGUAAUACGGAGGAUGCGAGCGUUAUCCGGAUUUAUUGGGUUUAAAGGGUGCGUAGGCGGAUUGAUAAGUCAGUGGUGAAAACCUGCAGCUUAACUGUAGACUUGCCGUUGAUACUGUCAGUCUUGAGUGUGGUCAAGGUAGGCGGAAUGUGUAAUGUAGCGGUGAAAUGCUUAGAUAUUACACAGAACACCGAUUGCGAAGGCAGCUUACUGGGCCAUUACUGACGCUGAGGCACGAAAGCGUGGGGAUCGAACAG